rnacentral:lncRNA from 1 species
GGGAAGAAACUGAGUUAGUAUCCACUUUAGAGAAUAGUUAAUUAUUAAUACCUUUAAUAAGUCAUGUUUCCUUGCAUACUUAAAAUAUUUAGCUUGCAAAAAUUAAAAAAAAAUGUACUACCCCACUUCUUAAAGUUAGAUUCAGCCUUGAACACAGUUGCUUUACAUUGAUUAGCCAGGCAGUAAGAAACCACGCCUUGAUAAACUUCAAAAAUAUGAUUCAAAUAUUUCAUGUUAGCAGCAAGACUCUGAGGAAGCCACUGGGCCCGUUGUGAUUCACUGGCUCUUGGCUUCAACUUUCCCUACUCUUUUCUGAUAUUAUUCAACAUGUUUUCAAAUCUUAUUCUUCUCUCAAAAACCUCAGAGCCUGAUGCAAUGGCGGAUUCCUGUCAUUCAGUGUGGAGGAAAAUAAGACAGGCAGAUGGUGAGUUUAAAGCCAGCCUGGGCUUCAGAGUGAGCCCUUGUCUCAGAAUAAACAAAAGAUCCAAAACUCCUUGAGUACCUUCUGUUCUGAGCUCCAGAUGUUGGACUAUAACAAAGAGCUGUCUUGAUGCUCCAAGUGCUUCUCUAUUCAGCAAAGACUGUGAAGAGAAAAACCACGGUGGGGCUGGAAAGAUGUGCAACUAAGGGAGCCAGUCGGGAGCAAGAGUGAGAUGCAUAUACAUUCAGACCCUGAUGAUCUUGCCCUGAGACUGGCAGGAGUAUGACUUCCCUCCUUGGUCUGGGUCUGCAUGCUUGGGCCAUGUAGCCUGUGUAAACCCCACCUCUGCCACCCUUGAGGAAGUCACAUAGCCUGGUGGCCAGAUUACAGGUUUAACUUCCUCUCUCCCUAUAAGGACAUGCCCAGCAAGCACCUGGAAUUCCUCUUCAUGC